rnacentral:rRNA from 1 species
GGUUGAUCCUGCCAGUAGUCAUACGCUUGUGUCAAAGAUUAAGCCAUGCAUGUCUAAGUAUAAACACUNAUAUAAAUAAUUACAAAAAAAUAAUAUAUUAUUAUUUUAUUUAUUUGAAAUUAUUAUAUUAUAUUGUGAGACUGCGGAUUGCUCAUUAUAUCAGUUAUAGUUUAUUUGAUUAAUUUAUUCAUUCAAAACAAUUUUAUAAAAAAUUGUUUAAAUGGAUAACUGUAGUAAUUCUAGAGCUAAUACAUGCAAUUAUUCUCUUGUUUGUUUAAUACAAAAUAUAUAAAUAUAUAUAUAUAUAUAUAUAUAUAUAUUUUGAUUGGAAUUUAGCAAGAGAUGCAUUUAUUGGAUUUUAAAACCAAAUUUAUUAAAUUUGUUUUUAUAUAGUGUUUUUAUUGUUUUAUACAAUAAUUUAUAUAAAAACAAAAUAAAAUAAAAAAAUUUGGUGAUUCCCGAUAAAAUUUAAGGCUGAUCGCAGUCUUUGUAAAAAAAAAAAAUAUGUAUAUAUAUUAUAUAUAUAUAUAUUAUAUUUUUUUGCAAAGGGCGACAUGUUAUACAAGUUUCUGCCCUAUCAGCUUUGGAUGGUAAGAUAUUGGCUUACCAUGGCUUUAACGGGUAACGAGAAAUUGGGGUUUGAUUUCGGAGAGGGAGCCUGAGAAAUGGCUACCACAUCCAAGGAAGGCAGCAGGCGCGUAAAUUACCCAAUCCUAAUUCAGGGAGGUAGUGACAAUAAAUAACAAUGCCAUAAAUAAAAUCCAUUAACUUAAUUGUUAAUGGUUAUGGCAAUUGGAAUGAGAACAAUUUAAAUUCCUUAUCGAGGAACUAUUGGAGGGCAAGUCUGGUGCCAGCAGCCGCGGUAAUUCCAGCUCCAAUAGCGUAUAUUAAAAUUGUUGCAGUUAAAAAGCUCGUAGUCUAAUUUCUGAUGAGGUUUUUUAUAGUAAUACAAACACUUAUAAAUAUAUUAUAUUAUAUUAUAGUGUAAUGUUUGUUUGUUUGUAUUAUUAUAAAAUAUACUAAUGUCUUGCCUAGUGAUUUAURAUAUUAUUCAUAAUAUUUGUAUUUCAAUAUUUGAAUGCAAAUAUUGGGUAAUAUUAUUGAAUUUUUUCUAGGUGUCGUUAGACCUCAUCAUCCUUGAACAAAAAAAAAAAAAUAAUGUUAUAAUAUUUUUUAUAUUUUUCAUAAAAAAAAACUAUAUAUAAAUAAUAUAAUAUUAUUAACAAAUUUUGUUCAUCUGUUACUGUGAGCAAAUUAGAGUGUUUAAAGCAGGCCAAAAAACAAAACUUAUAAAAUUUUUCAUAAAAAAAAAAAUAUAUAUAUGUUUUGAAAAAAUUUUUGCAAUGAAUACAAUUAGCAUGGAAUAACAUGAUAAGACUCUUGGGAAAAUAUAUUAAUCUUUUGAUUUUUUUUGAUUUUUUUUAUAAAUCAAUUUUUAUUAAGAAUUGAAGAAAGAAAGAGAUUAAUAUAUAUUUUGUUGGUUUGUACCCUAAAGAGUAAUGAUAAAUAGGGAUAAUUGGGGGUGUUAAUAUUCCGAAGUCAGAGGUGAAAUUCUUGGAUUUUCGGAAGAUUAACGAAUGCGAAAGCAUUCACCAAGGAUGUUUUCGUUGAUCAAGAACGAAAGUUAGGGGAUCGAAGAUGAUUAGAUACCGUCGUAGUCUUAACCAUAAACGAUGCCAACUAUUGGGAUUGGCGGACCAGCUUUAUUGCUGGGAAUAUUGAUGAGUGUGUUUUAUUAAUUUAUUUUUAUAUAUAUAUAUAUAUAUAUAUAUUAUAUUAUAUUAUAUUAUAAAAUAAUGAAAUAAAAAAACACUCAUAACGAAGCCUCAAAUUUCUUUAUGAAUAUGGGCUCCGUCGGUAUCUUGUGGGAAACCAUUAAGUGUUUGGGUUCUGGGGGGAGUAUGGUCGCAAGUCUGAAACUUAAAGAAAUUGACGGAAGGGCACCACCAGGAGUGGAGCCUGCGGCUUAAUUUGACUCAACACGGGGAAACUUACCAGGUCCAGACAUAGUUUGGAUUGACAGAUUGAUAGUUCUUUCUUGAUUCUGUGGGUAGUGGUGCAUGGCCGUUCUUAGUUGGUGGAUUGAUUUGUCUGGUUAAUUCCGAUAACGAACGAGACCCUCGCCUGCUGGUUGGGCAUUUACAAUACUAUUAUUUGUAUUGUAAAUGGUAAUAAAUGUUGUUUUAUUAUAUAUUUAUAUUUAUUUAUAUAUAUAAAUAAAAAAACAUUUAUUACUUCAUUCUUGAACUCUCCCAGAGGGACUUUUGACUUUUAUUUUACAAGUCAAAGGAAGCAGAGGGCCAUAACAGGUCUGUGAUGCCCUUAGAUGUCCUGGGCUGCACGCGCGCUACACUGAUGUAUUCAAUAAGUUUAAAAUUUGUAUAUGAUAUGAUAUAAAAUAUAUAUAUAUAUAUAUUCAUUUCAUUCAUCAUAUAUAAAUAUGAACCUGAAUUGACAAGUUUGGGGAAUCUUUUAAUGUACAUCGUGCUUGGGAUAGAUCAUUGUAAUUAUUGAUCUUAAACGAGGAAUUCCUAGUAAAUAUGAUUCAUCAGAUCAUAUUGAUUACGUCCCUGCCCUUUGUACACACCGCCCGUCGCACCUACCGAUUGAGUGAUUCGAUGAAAAUUUUGGACUGUUGAAUUACAUUAAAAAAAAAAAAUCAAUUUGGUAGUAUAGUGUGAAAUUUGUGUACUAGUUAUGUAUAUAGUAUUAUAUGCAAAAAUGACAUAGAUAAAACUCUACAUUAUAUAAAUAUUGAUUAUAAAAAUAAUGUAGUUUGAUGGGAAAUUAUGUAAAUCUCAUUACUUAGAGGAAGGUG